UCUUCCUACGGGGGGCAGCAGUGAGGUAUAUUGGUCAAUGGGCGCAGGCCUGAACCAGCCAAGUCGCGUGAGGGAAGACUGCCCUAUGGGUUGUAAACCUCUUUUAUAAGGGAAGAAUAAUGACUACGUGUAGUCAGAUGCCCGUACCUUAUGAAUAAGCAUCGGCUAACUCCGUGCCAGCAGCCGCGGUAAUACGGAGGAUCCGAGCGUUAUCCGGAUUUAUUGGGUUUAAAGGGUGCGUAGGCGGUUUGAUAAGUUAGAGGUGAAAUGUCGGGGCUCAACCCCGAAACUGCCUCUAAUACUGU
rnacentral:rRNA from 1 species